ensembl:lncRNA
AUUGACUUGGGGGAAUUCUGUGAAACUUUUGAGGGUGAGCUUCAAGUAUUCUGUGAUCAAUGCACCAGUGCCCUAACUGCCAUGUAAGAACAGUCUCUUACAACAAAUACCUCAAACACCUGCAGUAUUUCCAUGAGAAUGAGCGACAUUUCUUUGUUGUAUGUGGACACGAUGGGUGCCAAAAAAGGUACAAAAGAGUGAGUUCUUUACGUGUCCAUGUUUUUCGGACUCAUAAAAUCGUGAGAGACGCAGAAGAUUCUGAGAACAAUCAGGAGAUUCCAGGCACCUCACCUACUUUUAAUGAUUUCGAGGAAACUUUUGAUUCUGAAGAACCAAAUAUCUCUUUUUCUGAAAAAAUAUGUGGGUUCAGAUCACUAAUUGAGAGACAUUUUGCAUUGUUUUGUUUAAAACUUCAAGAAAAGCACAUCCUCCCAAAAACUGUUCGGCAUACUAUUACUCAUGAAGUGAAAAUACUCAUUGAACUUUUUAAUGAACAGUCUAAGGACCUUCUAAAGUUCUGUUUAGAAGAAACAAAUAUCAAUAUUGACAAUCAUUCAAACUUGAAGUCCUUGGUUGAAGACAACCUUUUUGGGAAGUGUUUUGAUGUUAUUGCGUCAGACUUUCAGUUUGAGAGAUACUGUAUUAGAGAGUUUGGGUUAAUUGAACCAGUAGAGUAUUUACUCGGAUUUGACUCGACAGGAAGAAAAGAGACUUUCCAGUAUAUUCCCAUUUUGGAAGUUUUAAAAAAUAUUCUGAAAAGAGAUGAUGUUUUUCAUUAUGUUGUGGAAGACACAGUUUUUGAUGGAGAAACACUUAAAGACUUCACAGAUGGAUUAAUUUUUCAGCAGCACGCCUUUUUUGAUGGAUCUGAGACACAGCUGAGGCUCCAGUUAUAUACUGAUGAAUUUGAAAUUGUAAAUUGUUUAGGAUCCAAAAGGCAGAUCCACAAAAUUUUAAGUGUCUACUUUGUUCUUGGAAAUAUUCCUCUGAAGUAUCGUUCCAGUCUUCAAAAUAUACAUGUGGCUGUACUUGUCAGAAACCGAUUGCUUCAGAAGUAUAGUUACGAGCAAAUUUUGGAUCCUCUUCUUCGUGACCUUUGUGAACUUCAGUGCCGUGGUGUAUCAGUUGACAUUGAUGACAAGUCCUGUGUUUUCAAAGGCUCCGUGAUUUCCAUUUGUGCUGACAAUUUAUCAGCCCAUUCCUUGGCUGGUUUCAAUACUUGCUUUAGUCAAGGACGGAUCUGUCGUUUCUGUCUGUGUCACCACCGUGACAUUGGUAACAAAACUGAGGAAAGUGAGUGUAUUCUCCGGACUCCUGACACACACCGUAGACAUUUACAAGUGCCAGAUGGUAAAUCCUUGUAUGGUGUUACUGGACGAUGCCCUUUUGAUAAACUGCCUCAUUUUGAGGUUACUGAAUCCUUUCCGCCUGACUUGAUGCAUGAUAUUCUUGAAGGUGUCAUCCCACAGGUUCUGAAAUUAGUCUUGCUAAAUCUUACCCGUGAAAGGCUGAUAACAGUGCAACAGUUUAAUGAACAGCUACAACAGUUCCCCUUUGGACAAAACGAUAUAACUCACAGGCCUGUUUUGCU